CACAUGUAAGUUAUUUCUCCAAGUUUUUCCAAAUUGUAUCUAUCUCUGCAUUUUUCACUUACUACAGCUAUGUGCACCAGAACGCGAAGCACAGGUGCUUUUAAGCUAUCUAGAAGGUGAUGCCGAUCUAUCCUACCUCUGCCUGCUGUUUAUUUGCCUCUGCCUUUCUCAUAGUCUCUGCUAUGGCCUGUAUCCGCUCCUCUAUCUUCCCAUUCUAAUUCAUGAAUGCUUGCUAGAAGAAGAGAAAAGAGUUGUGAGAUGUGUGAACAGCCGCUCAGCCAGCACCUCUCAAACAUCUGUCACUCAGGUGCUGCCCAUUGCACUAAACACGAGUUCUGUCCAAAUGAGCCCACUUACUGUACCCUCAUGCCAUUGCGACGGACCUCCACGUCACACACCGCUUGGCCAUGGCUGGGGACACACCUGGCCAAGUAGCACUACUGGCACACCACUGUGUUUUCCUCAUCACAGUGGUAUAGCUUGUGUAAUUGCCAUGCUGAAGGCAGGUCCAGCUCUGCACGUCUUCCACAUUCACCAGCAAAUGCUCUGCCUGUGGGGAUACCUGGUCAAUGUGCAUGGGAACGUGGGCCACACAGCAACCUUCUGCACAUCAGAGGCAGACUUUCUGAACCUGUUUGCCACACACUGUACAGCCUGAUGCCACUAAUGGCAUCCGGGCUUCCAAGUCCUUAAAUUGCUGGACAAUGCUGGCUAAUUUUAAGUUCUCUGCCACAUACAAUUCUUUAUUGUAGGUGCAAAGUAACAAAUUACAUUUACUCACGUUACUGUAAUUGAGUAGUUUUUGUGAGUAAUUAGUAAUUUUUUGAAAUAGGUAAUUUUACUUUUGCUCAAAUACAUUUUGACCCAAGUAUUUAACUUUGCUACAUUGGAAACCCCCCCCGUUACUGAGUAUAAAAUUAAAUGCAGGAGAAAACAAUCGGCCUGAACUGAAAGGAAAUUGUGUGGGCGUGUGCGGUCUUAAUGUGUCCUAUCAUUGGAUGAUGGCUGGUGCUGAGCAACAGAUAGAGAGCAUGGAGGAGGUUGAGGAUUGCCAAGCAGAGACACUGAAUUCCCGUGGAAGAGAUGAAUCGGAAAGCGAAGGAAAUCCUCUGCCAUAUCUCAGCCAGCUGUUUGUGUUCAAACGCAAACGAGGCAAUAACUUCAUCAUGCAAUGCAAAAUGUGCCUGCCCUGCCAGACAGAGCUGUCAGCUUUCAAAACUUCCACAUCAAAUCUAAGAAAGCAUGUGGUGGUAAGUAGAGUAUAUGUGCUUUUGCCUGUGUAUCCCAAACGUUAUAGUUAUUGUUUGGUUAAAACCUUCCUCCAUUAAGCAAAAUGUGCCAUCAUAUCAUCAUAUAGUUACUAUAGUCUACACUAUUAUGCUAGACUCAACAACAAGAGUCAUUUCAUUUAAGAGAAUACACUGCUUUGUUUCUAUUUACUAUUAGAUUGUAUUUAUGUGGGUGGUGCAAUCCGUGUGUCUCAAGGGACAGUUGGCAGGCUCCUUAUCAGGCUUAUUUGCGAAGGUCACCACCCCUUCUCCUUGGUUAAACAGCCAGCAUGUAAAGACUUCGCUGCAGCACUGAAUCCUCAAUGCAAAGUGCUCUCAAGACCCACACUUAAGAACAGAAUUACAGAAGCUGCCUGUCAAAUGAAGACAAAAAUGAUAUCGCACCUUAGUAAUGUCAACUAUGUCACAACUACCACAGAUUGUUGGUCGGCACACCAAAAAAGCUAUAUAGGUGUCACAUGCCACUGGAUUGAUGAAAAGACCUUAGAGAGGAGGAGACCUGCUGUGUUGGCAUGCAAGAGGUUAAGAGGGUCACACACCUUUGAAAUGUUUGCAGGUGCCCUGGAUGAUAUCCGCUGCCACUAUAGAAUACGGAGGAAAGUGGUUGGAACUACCACAGAUAGUGGUUCAAACUUUGUUAAAGCAUUCAGUAUUUUUGGUGAGCAGAGCCAGUCUGGGGAUGCAGAGUCAGGUACAGACCAAGACUGUCCAGAUGAUGAAUUUGAUGUUGAAUACCAAGACACAUUCAGCAUCCUAGAGCAAGGUUGAGUCAAGCAGAAAUUGCUUUCCUGACCGAGUUCUGCUCAGGGAUGAGACCAGUGGUAAUGGCCUUAAACAUUCUUCAGUCAGAGACCAACACACACUCAGGGUGGCUGCUCCCAGUGAUCUUUGAAUUACAGUCAAAACUUAGAAGGCAGGAAGCGUCCACCAAUAUAUGUCUGCCAGUCAUCAGAGCAAUUCAGCAUGGUGUCCAAAAGCGCUUUGGAGUGAUGAUGGAGGACCCUGAACUGAUCUCUGCAGUAAUCCUUCUACCAAAAUUUAAGACUGGCUGGACUGAGAAAGCUGAUAAAAUAGAAGCAGGUCUACUCUAUGUCAGACAUCACCUCGACCAAAUGGCUGAGACAGAGGUGGAGCAUGUUGGACAAGGACAGCAUUCAUCAGAUGAAGAGGAUUUCUUCUCCAUCAUGAAGUCCAGAGGGUCAGAGGGUAUAGGGGAGUUAGAAGGCUACCUUGCCUGUGUCUCAGAAAGUAUGGAUCUUCUGAACUCUUUUCCAAAUAUAAAAAUACUGUUACUGAAACUCAACACAGGCCUUCCGGCCUCAGCCGCCUGUGAGCGUCUUUUAAGCUCUGUUGGUUUGUUGUUCACAGCAGAGAGCACGGAUUAGCGCUACGAACUUUGAAAAUCAACUCCUGCUCAAACUGAGCAAGAGCUUUACAGUCUAAUGCUGUAGUAUUCAGUGGGCAGUUUAUUCUGUGGGGCAGAGCACUUUAUUUUAUUUCUUAUAUCAGCAAUCAGUGUGCUCAUUUGUCAAUUAAGACAAUUGAUAUGAUUUAUGUUUGCUAUAGAAAGAAAAAAAGAGCACAGUUUGUUAAGGAAUUGCUCAACAUUUUUACUGUCUUAGAUAUUUUGUUUGAUUUUGGUUUUAUUUUCUUUCUGUUUUAUUGUAGUGUUUGACUUGGACCAUACAAUUCAGAAUUUCGCACUUUGUGCCAAUUGUGCUUAAAAAUGUUUUAUGGGGAGGUCUGAACAUAGUUUGCACAUUAUACCUCUUGACGGGUUGUAAAUAUUAUACAGUUAAUUUGUCAAUUAUAUUUUCUAUGAAAGGAAGGAAGAGCACAGUGUUACUAAGGAAUCGCUCAGUUGUCUUUAAAACCAGUGUGCGAAAUGCAGGGGGGUCCGACUCCCCCGAUUAACCCAUGAAACCCCCUAAAAGCCUCAAAAGCAAAAUUUUAAGGGAGUCUCAAGAUUGGUAUUGCACAACAAUAGGGCGAUGGCGCCGGCACCCCAACCCAACCCCCCCGCCCCCCGGCGGGUAUUUCACACACUGUUUAAAACGUUAGUGUCCUGGAGCUUGGUUGGUUUAAGUUUCAUACAGUAUGUGUCAUUUAGUAAGUCUUUCACCGCCUGUGGCCCCGGCGGGGGCAUAGGCCGUCAAUCAGCUUUUUCCAGGCAUCUCGGUUCUGAGCAAGUCUGGGGAUUAAAGGUGAGGGCCUGUCUUGUGAUAUUAGAAGCAGGCUUUCGAAGGGUAUGUCCUAUCCAUCGCCAGCAUCUCUGAAGGAUGUCCUCCUCAAUGGGCUGUUUCCUAGUUCUUAGCCACAGUUCUUCAUUGCUGAUCUUUUCUGGCCAGCGAAUCUUGAGUAUCAUUCUGAGGCAGGUAUUUAUAAAGACCUGGAUUUUCUUCAAGUUGGUUACGGUGGUUCUCCAGGUCUCAGCUCCAUACAAUAGGAUUGGCUUCAUGAUGGUGUUGAAGACCCUGAUCUUGAUGGCGGUGCUGAUUCCAUUGUACCUCCAAAGGUUUUUCAACUGAUGGAAGGCUGUCCUUGCUUUGCCAAUGCGGGUUCUGACAUCUGCAUCUGUUCCUCCCUGCUUGUCCAGUAUACUGCCAAGAUAGGUGAAGCUGUCUACCUCUUCCAGCGCCUCACCUUCAACUUUAAUGGGUGUAUCAUUGGGUGUGUUUAUCUUGAACACCUUGCUCUUCUUUCUGUUAAUGUGGAGACCCAGGCAAGCCGAGUUUUCCACAACCAUGUUGGUCUUUACCUGCAUCUGUUGUUGAGUGUGAGAAAGAAGAGCCAGAUCAUCUGCAAAGUCUAGGUCGUCCAGCUGCUUCCACAGUGUCCACUGUAUGCCAUUCCUUUUCUGAUCAGUCGAUGUCUUCAUGACCCAAUCUAUGGCCAACAGAAACAAGAAGGGCGAGAGUAUACAGCCCUGCCUCACUCCGGUUUGUACUUCAAAGGCGUUGGUUAGUUGCCGGCCAUGAACUAUCCUGCAGGUCAUCCCUUCAUAAGACUUCUUGACGAUUUUUGUGAUCUUUUCCGGUACUCCGUAAUGCCUCAGAAGCUUUCAGAGGGUCUGCCUGUCAAUGCUGUCAAAUGCCAUCUCAUAAUCGAUGAAAUUGACAUAGAGGGGUGAAUUCCACUCCAGGGAAUUUAGUAAGUCUGCUUUCUUUUAUUUGCAAUAUAGAUAGCGUUUGUCAGUAAAGAAAAAAAUGGAUCAUAUGAUUCACAGCUUAUGCCACUUGUACUUGAAAAUGUUUUAUUAGGUGGUCUGAACAAAGUUUGCACAUUAUACCCCGUGAAAGGUCCUAAUUAUUAUUUGGACUAAAAGUUGGUUAAAAACAACUAGUGUUGGGUUGGAUUUAUGACUCGCUGUCAUUUUUUUUUUUUACAUCAAGUAAUUGAAAGUAACCAAGUAACUUUGACUCAAAAGUAAAUUUUAAAUUAAGUACUUUUUAACUUUUACUUGAGUAGAUUUUUAGAUGGGUACUUUUACUUUCACUACAAGAUACUUUUACUUAAUUACAAUGUUUGAGGUACUGGGAGGCCCUGGAGGGACAGAAAUGCAGGAAGAGGGGGAAUCAGAAACCAGGCCACACCUCAGACCAUGCCAAGCAGCCCUUUUGGCUGUCCUCUCUGGCCCUGACACAGUUAAUCCAUUCCUGCCUUCCACAAGCUUCUGUAGGCUCUUCUCCCUCUUUGAGACUUCCACCAGGAAGUGUCUGGGCUCAAAGUUCAUCUAACUCAGAAGAGGGGAUUUCUUGCUGAUGUUGAUCUCUGAUCUAAGGCAGGUGACAGACCUUCGAUUGAGCAUGAUGGCUUUGGGCUGUGUGUCAUGCCCAGCUUGUGCUGAUCGUCCUGUGUGCCAUGCCCCCCUCACUACCUUGUAUGGAAUCCCCGUGUCAUCAGCUGUUUUUUGUGGUGUUAAUUAGUCUGGUAUAUUUAAAUCUGUGUCUGUGUGUUUUGCGUUAGUCCGGUCAUUGACGUUGUGAAGUCUUUGUAUGUUCCUGAGCGUAUUUUCCCUAAUUAAACCCCGUGUUCACCUGAUUCCUCCACUCCUGUUCCUGUUUCCCCAUUCUAUGCCCAUGCAUUCAUGACGUGUGUGAUAUCACAUUGUGAUUUAAUUGCGACUCUGUGGCGCAUGCAAAAUACUUACUGGAUAUGGAUUGCUCCACUGUGCAAAACAAAUUAUUUUUAAAGUAUUAAAUUUUAUGUACCGUGUCAUUGCGAAACUCUUAAUUAUUUUGAAUGUUGAGAAGAUUGUUAUUAAAUGGUGUACUGUGGAAAAAGAAAAA